GAGAUUCUAGUAAAACAGUAUUACACUUCCUUGUCAGGGCAGAAUUGUGAGUGCAAACCCCACGAAUCUUA
rnacentral:tRNA from 3 species